UACGGGGGGGGCAAGCGUUGUUCGGAAUUACUGGGCGUAAAGGGCGCGUAGGCGGUUCGCUAAGUUGGAUGUGAAAACUCUGGGCUCAACCCAGAGCCUGCAUCCAAAACUGGCGGGCUAGAGUUCUGGAGGGGGUAGCGGAAUUCCUGGUGUAGCGGUGAAAUGCGUAGAUAUCAGGAGGAACACCGGUGGCGAAGGCGGCUACCUGGACAGAAACUGACGCUGAGGCGCGAAAGCUAAGGGAGCAAACAGG
rnacentral:rRNA from 1 species